GCCCUUGUGGGUCAAUGGUAGAUCAUCCACAUUUUAUAUGAGUUGGACAGUAAAUCUCGUGGACGGCGCGGGUUCGACUCCCGCCGAGGGCA